rnacentral:rRNA from 1 species
UACGUAGGUGGCAAGCGUUGUCCGGAUUUACUGGGCGUAAAGAGCGCGCAGGCGGUCGUUCAAGUCGCGUGUGAAAGCCCCCGGCUCAACUGGGGAGGGUCACGCGAUACUGAUCGACUCGAAGGCAGGAGAGGGUAGUGGAAUUCCCGGUGUAGUGGUGAAAUGCGUAGAUAUCGGGAGGAACACCGGUGGCGAAGGCGGGUCUCUGGGCCGUAACUGACGCUGAGGAGCGAAAGCGUGGGGAGCGAACAGG